rnacentral:rRNA from 1 species
UACGUAGGGGCAAGCGUUGUCCGGAAUCAUUGGGCGUAAAGAGCGUGUAGGCGGUCCGGUAAGUCGGCUGUGAAAGUCCAGGGCUCAACCCUGGGAUGCCGGUCCGAUACUGCCGGACUAGAGUUCGGAAGAGGCGAGUGGAAUUCCCGGUGUAGCGGUGAAAUGCGCAGAUAUCGGGAGGAACACCUAUGGCGAAGGCAGCUCGCUGGGACGUUACUGACGCUGAGGCACGAAAGCGUGGGGAGCAAACAGG